AUGUUGCUGAAGUUGUUCAUUUUUGCAUCAGUUUAUCAUGAGUGUCAUGGAGAAGAGCUCGUUGAUCAGCCAGAUCAACACAUCGCUGAAUUUGAAGCAAGAUCAGUAACAUUACAAUGCAAAUAUAAAACAACAUCACCACAACCAGAACUUUUCUGGUACAUUCAGAAAGAAAAUGACUUUCCUAAAUACAUGCUGAGGAGAAACAAAUAUGGAGGUGAAGAUAAUGAUGCUCAGUUCCAGGAGAGAUUUCACUCUGAGGUGUCAUCAGAUUCAGUUCCACUGACAAUCAAGAAUCUGUGUGUGUCUGACUCUGCUGUGUACUACUGUGCUCUGAGGCCCACAUAUCCCGGAUCAGCUCCUGAGUUCAUUGUGCUCAUCUCAGACAGAUCAAAACAAGCUGAGGAGUCUAAUGUAGAUUCCAGAUUCACUGCCAAAGUCACCAAAGACAAAGAAAACCUUGUGGAUCUGGAGAUCUCCUCUGCAUCUAUAUCAAACUCUGCUCUGUACUACUGUGCUCUGGCGCCCACAGUGACAGAAAACACAAGAACACUGUACAAAAACCUGAUUCGCAGUAUUGCAUCUACAUGA